ACGGGAGGCAGCAGUGAGGAAUAUUGGUCAAUGGACGCAAGUCUGAACCAGCCAUGCCGCGUGCAGGAAUGAGGCCCUAUGGGUCGUGAACUGCUUUUGUGGUGGAGCAAUAAGUCGUACGCGUACGGCGAUGAGAGUACAUCACGAAUAAGCAUCGGCUAACUCCGUGCCAGCAGCCGCGGUAAUACGGAGGAUGCAAGCGUUAUCCGGAUUUAUUGGGUUUAAAGGGUGCGUAGGCUGUUGCGCAAGUCAGAGGUGAAAUACCCGCGCUCAACGCGGGAACUGCCUUUGAUACUGCGCGGCUGGAAUACUGUUGCCGUGGGAGGAAUGAGUAGUGUAGCGGUGAAAUGCAUAGAUAUUACUCAGAACACCGAUUGCGAAGGCAUCUCACGAAGCAGUUAUUGACGCUGAGGCACGAAAGCGUGGGGAUCAAACAGGAUUAGAUACCCUGGUA
rnacentral:rRNA from 1 species